GUGGCACAGAAGCUGCUUAAGUGGAGCCUA
rnacentral:piRNA from 2 species